rnacentral:lncRNA from 1 species
CUCCCUCCUUCCCAGUGGGAAUUAUUCUAUAUGUAGUUGUAGAUUUGGUGUGUCUGUCGGAGGAAGUAAGUUCAGAGGCUUUUUAUACCACCAUCUUGGACCACUCUUUUUGUAAUAUAUCGUAAGGAAUCUGAAGAUUUUUUUCACCUUGAGCAAUUUGAGUAAAUGUGAUUUUGUGAGGGUUUUUGGCAGGGGGGGUUUGCAAUGGUCUCAAGGAUAAUCUGACUUUCUCAUUUACCCUCUUACAAUAAAAUUACAGGCAUUUCGAGAGAUGAGAUAGGCGGGCCGCUCAGAAACAUUAUCCCAUCCAUCAGGAAGAGAACCCAAAUUAAGGAUUCCAAAGAUUCCAAAAAGGCAACAGUAUGGAAAAGGAGUCUGUGCUACAGAGGUGAUCUGAAUCCAGGAAAAAAUGGAAGAUGUCUAUAAUAAAAAAAAGGAGAAGAUGGAGACAAAUGAGGUUAUUUCAUCAAAUGACAUGCAAGAAGUACGUAAAGGAAAGAGACAAAGAAACCAGGUUUAUUGAUCCCCAGGCUACAAUUUUGCCUCCCAACAAAACCUGAAUUCUGGAAAACCCCACUCAGCUUAAGUUUUGUUAUAAAAGUAAAUCUCAGCGCUCAUUUAAUUUAUGGCUUUCAGGAGAAGAAAAGCAGAGAAUAUGGUGGUGCUUCGUUAGGAGUUGGUACAUAGCUGGGUAUGCAGCGUCAGACUGUGUCUUUCCUGAGCCCGUAUACUGCACAGAUGACCUGUAUCAGAAUCGCGCAGAGAGUUUGUGGAAAGGCAGAGCCUGGGUCCACCCACUGAAUUGGAAUCUGGAGGAUUGAGCCUGGGAUUUAGGGGAUGAACUAUGGGAUACACUUUCAAUGAACA